GUUAGACAGGACACCAAAAGCAUUUCGACUACAGUGAGAGAAAGAAACUACUGACCAAGAAAUCGGGAUAGAGGAGUGAUAGUUUAAAAAAGAAUUCUUUAAAGUGGCCUCAUCAUGGGAUCAGAGACCAACAGGCUCAGAAACAGGAGGUACAACGUGGCUUUUCUGUUUUUGUACCACUGACAGACUGUUUGGAUGAUAAGGGGAUCCCCCCCUGUUCCCAAGAAUCCAUGGAAACACUGAUAGACAUGAGGGAAGCCUAUCAGGAGGCAGGCAGGGGAGGCAGUCAAGAUGUGUCUCUGCCCAGUUUGCACAAGAGCAACAACAGCAGACACCGGGGCCAUGCAGACCAUCCUCUGGCAUCUGGCUUGCUGAGUGUGAGAAGCCCCUGCCAGCCAGUACCCCCACCACACAGGAGACGAAGAACAAGAAGUGUGGUUGCUGCAUCGCCACCCUCCCACUUGUUGUCUGUGCCAGAGCCCAGUCAGCUCAGCCAAUCGGCUCCCAGCAUCAUGGAACCUCUGCUGUGUCCAAACACUAUGAUGCAGGCCAGAGCACACAUCCAGACCCGGUUGGGUUCUCAUCAUACUAUAAAUGAACAAAAGGGUCUCCUGCCCCGAACACCAAAACUCUUGGCACCCCUGGACAAACGCUUCAGAGACGGCACCGCUCUGCCUGUACUAAAGCAACAUGUUCCCCUGAAGCCCAUCAGUCAGAGCCCUAUUUCUACAAGGACCAGGUUGAAAAGAGAGAGACUGUCCUGGGGCAGCUCAUGCAUUGACUCUUCAACGACGAAGGAUGGCAGUGUGGAGAGCGGGUCCAGCAGCAGCCACAGCUCAGUCGAUUUAGAGGAUGAGGACGCUGACAGGGAUCAAGAUGCAUAUCUGACUGUCAGUCACGACAGGAUGUUGGAGCUUCCGAAGGAUGCGAGCACCGCUGAGGCUGAUAGGACUGGGAAGACAGCGCUGCAUUUUAAAGUUCAGUCAAAGAUUAAUCAUGUUCCACUGAUCCGCAGAUCAGGACAUAGCCUGAAGGAAGACCUUAUCAAUCAUACAAGUGAUCUUCACAACAGUGAAAUAGCUUUGAACUCUCAGAAUGAAGGCAAAGUGAGCCGUAUGAAUAUUACAAAAGAGUGUGCUGACAG
ensembl:lncRNA